rnacentral:tRNA from 1 species
GCCAAGGUGGCAGAGUUCGGCCCAACGCAUCCGCCUGCAGAGCGGAACCCCCGCCGGUUCAAAUCCGGCCCUUGGCUCUC